rnacentral:rRNA from 1 species
AGCGAACGCUGGCGGCAGGCCUAACACAUGCAAGUCGAGCGCCCGGCAACGGGAGCGGCAGACGGGUGAGUAACGCGUGGGGAUCUACCCAUUGGUACGGAAUAACCCAGGGAAACUUGGAUUAAUACCGUAUAAGCCCUUCGGGGGAAAGAUUUAUCGCCAAUGGAUGAACCCGCGUCGGAUUAGCUAGUUGGUGGGGUAAAGGCCCACCAAGGCGACGAUCCGUAGCUGGUCUGAGAGGAUGAUCAGCCACACUGGGACUGAGACACGGCCCAGACUCCUACGGGAGGCAGCAGUGGGGAAUAUUGGACAAUGGGCGCAAGCCUGAUCCAGCCAUGCCGCGUGUGUGAUGAAGGCCUUAGGGUUGUAAAGCACUUUCGCCGGUGAAGAUAAUGACGGUAACCGGAGAAGAAGCCCCGGCUAACUUCGUGCCAGCAGCCGCCGUAAGAC